GAGGCGGAGAAGGACUCUGCGCCCCCCUUCGGUCGCCGUGGCGGCGAUGGCUGCUCCUUCGGCCCCGCUCCCGGGAGAUCGGAGGGCCUAAGAACGGCCGUCUCCUUGAGGCUAUGGACGGCCGGGGCGCGGGGAGGCGAGGGCCGGAACGCGGCGGGCGCCCCCGCCCCCGCACCCCCCCGGUCCUCUGUCUCCCCCUCCGCUCCCGGGUCCUCCUGCCCCUUCCCCAUCCCUUUCCCCCCACCCCCAGUCCUCCUGACCUCAGCUCCGCCGCCGCUCCCCGCCAUUCCUGCGCCGGGGGGUCCUGUUCCCCGCAGACCAGAGGCGGGCCCGUUUCACUCUAGCGAAUAAAGAGCCCUUACCUCGCGCCGCCCGGUGCCAGCCCCACGCCGAUCUGUUUCCUGAGUCCGCAUGCGUACCAGGCCGUACACUAGGCUCUGAGGAGGCCAACUUAGCACCGGUGUGCCCUGUCGGUGGGAGCUGGCUAGCUGUACACUCUGUUUCCUCGGGGUGCUCCUCCAUUUGAAUAUCCACUGGACCUUGGCUGAGAACCUACAUACGCAUCAAAGAAAGGCCCCCAUUUUGUGGUUUGACAAAGCCCAUGCUCUUGAGCUGCUCUGCUCUUCUGUGAUUAUUGUGAAUAAGGAGGUGAUGCAUAAAAAGGACCUACAAGUCCCUGCAUAACGG